UUGUACUAGAUAAGCCCCGUGUACAUAGUGGCCAUGUUCAGCCCCUAGAUAAACCUUGAUAAAGGAAUCACGAAAUCUGCCGUAUAUAGAACAGUUUUAGAACGAGUGUUUGGACUUAAUACCGGUUUUCAUAAUGCCUGUAAUUAUUUAAGUGCAUUUUAAGACUAACGAACGUUCGCUAAUGGCGUUUGAAGGAACAGCACGGGUUCUCUUUAUUUUUGCCGUACUACACGUGACAGGUGCCGUCACAACCUACACAUGGGGUUCCUGGGGUGACUGGGGAUCUUGUAUCAGUAACUGUCCAGACAGCAACACCGGCACGAAAAC